GCGCCAGACUCCUACGGGAGGCAGCAGUGGGGGAUAUUGCACAAUGGGGGAAACCCUGAUGCAGCGACGCCGCGUGUGGGAAGACGGUCUUCUGGCUUGUAAACCACUGUCCCCAGGGACGAAAAUGACGGUACCUGGGGAGGAAGCUCCGGCUAACUACGUGCCGGCAGCCGCGGUAAUACGGAGGAUGCGAGCGUUAUCCGGAUUUAUUGGGUUUAAAGGGUGCGCAGGCGGAUUUUUAAGUCAGCGGUCAAAUCGUGGGGCUCAACCCCAUCCAGCCGUUGAAACUGGGGAUCUAGAGUGUGCGAGAGGUAUGCGGAAUGCGUGGUGUAGCGGUGAAAUGCAUAGAUAUCACGCAGAACCCCGAUUGCGAAGGCAGCAUACCGGUGCACAACUGACGCUCAGGCACGAAAGCGUGGGUAUCGAACAGGAUUAGAUACCCGAGUA
rnacentral:rRNA from 1 species